CUGACCUGGUGCUUCGUAAAGUGAUCAACUUCAGUGACUGUACGGUGUGUCUGGAUAAGAGGAACAGCAGUGGUAAGAUCCAGUUCUACCAGGAUCCUCUCCUCUACAAGUGUUCCUUCAGGACCCGACUCCACUUCACCUACCAGAACAUCAACUCUAAGAUCCCUGCUGUCAUCAAGAUCCAGACGAUGGUGGAGUCCCUGAAGCUGUCCAUCACAGACCAGCAGCUGCCCAUGUUCAUCAGGAUCAUGGAGCUGGUCCUCAGCCUCUACUACGGAGAGAUAGGAGGAGGGAAGGACGGAGAGGAGGGGAGCGGACAUGGAGAGGUCAUCACUACGCCUGGUCUGGAAGGAGACCCAGAGGCCCAGGUCAUGGCAGGACAGUACCCCAGCCCAGAGCAUUACAUGCAGGG